rfam:Sphingomonas sp. KC8, complete genome.
CCAGAGGGUUGGGCGGCCGCCGGUGUCACGUUUCGCGUGAUGCGGGAGGAAAGUCCGGGCUCCAAGAAGCAACGGUGCCGGGUAACGCCCGGCGGCGGAUGAAAGUCCGUCAGGGAAAGUGCCACAGAAAGCAUACCGCCCGGCGGGCCGGCAACGGCUCCGGGUCAGGGCGAAAGGGUGCGGUAAGAGCGCACCGCGGGCCGGGCAACCGGAACGGCAUGGCAAACCCCACCGGGAGCAAGACCGAAUAGGGACGGCAUAUGGGCUGGCUUCGCCCCGUCGUCCGGGUUGGUUGCUUGAGGUUGCGGGUAACCGCAGCCCUAGAGGAAUGGUCGCCCAUCCGGUGCCGGGGUUUCCCGGCAUCGGUGGACAGAACCCGGCUUAUAGACCCUCUGGCGUU